GACGAACGCUGGCGGCGUGCUUAACACAUGCAAGUCGAACGAAAAGAGGGAAAGAGCUUGCUCUUUCCGGAAUUGAGUGGCAAACGGGUGAGUAACACGUAAACAACCUGCCUUCAGGAUGGGGACAACAGACGGAAACGACUGCUAAUACCGAAUAAGUUCCAAGGGCCGCAUGGCCCAUGGAAGAAAAGGUGGCCUCUACCUGUAAGCUAUCGCCUGAAGAGGGGUUUGCGUCUGAUUAGCUGGUUGGAGGGGUAACGGCCCACCAAGGCGACGAUCAGUAGCCGGGCUGAGAGGAUGGACGGCCACCCUGGAAUUGGGACCCGGUCCAGACUCCUACGGGAGGCAGCAGUGGGGAAUCUUCCGCAAUGGGCGAAAGCCUGACGGAGCAACGCCGCGUGAGUGAUGACGGCCUUCGGGUUGUAAAACUCUGUGAUCCGGGACGAAAAGGCAGAGUGCGAAGAACAAACUGCAUUGACGGUACCGGAAAAGCAAGCCACGGCUAACUACGUG
rnacentral:rRNA from 1 species